CCUANGGGGGGCAGCAGUGGGGAAUCUUGCGCAAUGGACGAAUGUCUGACGCAGCGACGCCGCGUGUGGGAUGAAGGCCUUCGGGUUGUAAACCACUGUCGGAGGGGACGAAGGCCCGGCCGGUAACUCGGACCGGGAUUGACGGUACCCUCAAAGGAAGCACCGGCUAACUCCGUGCCAGCAGCCGCGGUAAUACGGAGGGUGCGAGCGUUGUCCGGAAUCACUGGGCGUAAAGGGCGCGUAGGCGGCUGGGUAAGUCAUGCGUGAAAUUCCGGGGCUCAACCCCGGAACGGCGUGUGGGACUGCCCGGCUAGAGCAUAGUAGAGGCGAGUGGAAUUCCAGGUGUAGCGGUGGAAUGCGUAGAUAUCUGGAAGAACACCGGUGGCGAAGGCGGCUCGCUGGGCUAUUGCUGACGCUGAGGCGCGAAAGCGUGGGGAGCAAACAGGAUUAGAUACCCCUNUANUC
rnacentral:rRNA from 1 species